rnacentral:rRNA from 1 species
AAUGAACGCUGGCGGAAUGCUUUACACAUGCAAGUCGAACGGCAGCACGGACUUCGGUCUGGUGGCGAGUGGCGAACGGGUGAGUAACAUAUCGGAACGUAUCCAAUAAUGGGGGAUAACGAGUCGAAAGAUUCGCUAAUACCGCAUACGCCCUACGGGGGAAAGCUGGGGACCUUCGGGCCUGGCGUUAAUGGAGCGGCCGAUAUCUGAUUAGCUAGUUGGUGAGGUAAAGGCUCACCAAGGCGACGAUCAGUAGCUGGUCUGAGAGGACGACCAGCCAGACUGGAACUGAGACACGGUCCAGCCUCCUACGGGAGGCAGCAGUGGGGAAUUUUGGACAAUGGGCGCAAGCCUGAUCCAGCCAUUCCGCGUGAGUGAAGAAGGCCUUCGGGUUGUAAAGCUCUUUCGCAAGGGAAGAAAACUUAGCCACUAACAUUGGUUGAGGUUGACGGUACCUUGAUAAGAAGCACCGGCUAACUACGUGCCAGCAGCCGCAGUAA